CGGUGUGUUGUGGACUCGUGGUGCUGGCUGCCGCUGUUGAGGCGGCCGAGAACGGGCGGUAGGGAGCGGGCGGAGCUCGGCCUGCCUCUACCUGGCCAGCGCCACAGUCGGCGCGGGCCGCGCCCGCCGCCGUCAACUGCCCUGAGCGCCUGCUGAGGCCGAGGGAGACGUCGGGGCCUGCACCUGGAGGGAGCCUGCCGCGCUGGCCCCAAGGAGGGGGCGUUGCCAUGGCGACAGCCUCUCCCGCUGCUGACGGGGGGCGGGGGCGGCCCUGGGAAGGAGGGCUGGUCUCCUGGCCCCCUGCCCCUCCUCUUACGCUCCCCUGGACUUGGAUGGGCCCGAGUUGGGGGCAACACCCUGGGCAUUGGGGCCUUCCGGCUCUCACAGAACCUUCGGCGUCCCCAGCUGCCAGUCUUGGCAUCUUCGAAGUAAGGAGAGUUUUAGAUGCUUCUGGAUGUUCAAUGCUAGCACCUUUGCAGACUGGAGCAGCUCGAUUUUCUUCGUAUUUGCUUUCAAGAGCAAGGAAAGUGCUGGGCUCCCACUUAUUUUCUCCCUGUGGUGUUCCGGAGUUCUGCUCCAUAUCCACCAGGAAGCUGGCGGCCCACGGCUUUGGCGCAUCCAUGGCGGCAAUGGUGUCGUUCCCUCCCCAGAGGUAUCACUACUUUUUAGUGCUGGAUUUUGAGGCCACGUGCGACAAGCCACAGAUUCAUCCUCAGGAAAUCAUUGAAUUCCCUAUCCUGAAGCUGAAUGGCCGGACCAUGGAGAUUGAGUCUACCUUUCACAUGUAUGUCCAGCCCGUAGUCCAUCCACAGCUUACCCCCUUCUGUACAGAGCUCACCGGGAUUAUUCAAGCCAUGGUGGAUGGCCAGCCAAGCCUACAGCAAGUACUGGAGAGGGUCGAUGAGUGGAUGGCGAAGGAAGGCCUCUUAGAUCCAAACGUCAAGUCAAUUUUUGUCACCUGUGGAGACUGGGACUUAAAAGUCAUGCUCCCAGGUCAGUGCCAGUACUUGGGCUUGCCAGUGGCGGAUUACUUCAAGCAGUGGAUUAAUCUGAAGAAGGUGUCUGAUCAUCCUGGAGGUCAGGUGGAAUAGAAGAAAGUGUGGCGAGUCCUGGUGUGGGAACUGAGGAAAGGUUAAUGGAACUUCUGAAUUUUCUGUAAAAAGGAUCCUAAGGACUACCCUUAGCCAUUUUAACAUCCCUUUCACCCUGAGGUUUGCUCUUCUGUUUGAGCAUUCAGGGUAUUCCCCCAAAUUGAGAUUUAACUCAGCACUACAUUGACAGUUGAGGCUGGAAAUGAUGAGAUCUGUAGGAGUGGAUGAUGGUAGGAGUAGGUUGUACCCAUUUUGUCCCAAAAAGAGAGUUGUGAUUUGGACAGUAGGUAGAGGGAGAGAAGAGGAGACUUUUUGGAGAGAAGAGUCUGGAGAGUGUCUGCAAGAUGCUCCCUCAAGGGGCUGGCGCUGUGGCACAGCAGGUUAAAACUACAGCCUACAGUGCCAGCAUCCCAUAUAGGUGCCAAUUCAAGUCCUUGCUGUUCCACUUCUGAUCCAGCUUCCUGCUAUUGCACCUUGGAAAGCAGCAGAAGAUGGCCCAAGGCCUUGGGCCCCUGCACCCACGUGUGAGACCCAGAUGAAGCUCCUGGCUUCUGGCUUUGGGCCUGGCCCAGCCCUGGCCAUUGUGACCAUUUGGAAAGUGAACCAGCAGAUGGAAGAUAUCUCUAUCUUCUCUCUGUCUCUGUGUAUCUCUCUCUUUCAAAUAAAUAAAUAAAUAAAUCUUUAAAUAAGUAAAUAAAAAGGUGCUCCCUCGAUAGGACCUGCCUCUAAACAUAUCACCAGACCCCUGGUUUUCUGCUGAGGCACUUUUCCUGUUCAGGCUCUGUCCUUGGGGAAGCCUUGACUCCCCUGAGUGUCUCCUCCCACUAAGCCAGAUUGAGCAGGGCAGGGCUCCCUUCUUCACAUGCCAGUCCCUCUUUCCACCCCUACCCCUACCCCUCCAAAUUGCCACGAGUGUUCUGAGGAAGGAAGGGUUGCAGUGCCCUACUCUGAUGGAUUAUGCAGCCAUUGGGUGCGCAGGGCUGUCUGAGCUUUCCCAUGUGGAGUGCUUCUGCUCCGGCUCUGUUGCAUUCCAGAGAGAAGGUUGACCUGUGUUUGGUCAGGGCUUGUUUUGGCAAAGUCAAGAAAGGAUGGAAGUAUCGUGGGCAGCUUGGACCUGGGAAUAGAGAACUCAGAAGAUAGAAUCCCAGUGUAGUAAAGAAAACCCAGAGUCACUACAGGGUAAUGCAGUUGUAAAUGGUGUUGCCCUGCAGAGUCCAGAAUGAGGGAGUGAAUUCUCCAGAAGAGCUCAGAUGGGCAUGUGGAAGGGGGACCUGGGACUGGUCUGUGAGGAGCAUGGCGAGCAUGCUGUGGAGAAAAGGGUGGGUGAGCAUCUGGGCCAGAGAGCAAAUAUCAUCGGAGGUGAGGUGAGUUGUGUUAGGGUAGGACUAGGGCCCAGGGGGGCUUCCUGUUCCUGUUGGCUUCAUCUUAAUUUGGAGGUAUGGACCAUGCUGCUGCUUUAGGAAGCCUGGCUGGCUGCUGUGGGCUUGGAGCCUCAGGUUGAAAAGAGGUACAGAGAAGAGCCUUUGGGAAUGGAUCCCAAGCCCUCCCUCUGCUCUAUUCCCUUCUCUGUUCUGCCAAAAGAGCAAGGAAGGGGUGAGGAUUCAGGGUAGAGAAACAGCUCCGGUGAAGCUUCAGGCCUGCUUGCUGCACCCUUGCUAAGCCUAUGCCCAGGCCUGUUUUGUACCCAGACCCAGCCCUCUGCCAAGGGCCAGCUUGGUUCCAUAACCUGGUUGGGAGGCUGGAAGGAGACCGGGAAGCCCAGAGACUCAUUUUCACUGGAAUUUGACCUAAAGCAGGAUUGGAAGGGAAGAAAAGAAUUUGAACAAAAGUGCAGGCAGGAAGGAGCUGUUAACGAGCCUUUCUUUCUCUUUGGGGACGGAGAGGAGCGCAUAGCGGGGCGCAGCCGCCAGCUCUCCUCUGAGCGGCUCUCUAAGGUAGCUGCAGACUCUGGCCGCUGCCUUCACGCGCGCUCUCUGCUUUUUUCCCUCUCCUCUUUCUCGGCUCUCUCUAUUAUGGGGACUUGCUCCAGCUCUUUCUCUCUCUUCUGUCUCUCCUUUUGUUCUCUCUUUGUCUAUUUAUCACACUGUGAAGGUUGAAAGAGAUGUUAUUAAUCUGGGAGAAUGAAGGCAGGAUUAGUGGUAUGAAUCGGAUUUUGAGAGGUGUAAUGAUAGAAAGACUCGCUCGGCUGGCGGCCUGCGUGAGCUUGAUAAAUGGGGAGCACUCCAGACUGACUCGCGCCUUCCUCCGCGCUGUGCGCCCUGCCCGCUGGGGCGUGCCGCGCUCUCAGAUCUGCCAGCCGGCCCACCCCGCUCCUACCUGAACCGGAGCAAAAAGCCAAGGGUAAAGCAGACACAAAUAUCUCCCAUCGCACUUGGAGACAUCAUUGCUUUCAGCACCCUUUUCAAGUGGAGGCCUGUCGAGUUCUCACAGGACUGUGGGCAGAGGGAAGAGGAACCCCGACCUCAAGCCAAAACCAUCCACCCGCAUGGAGGGCCUGAGUAGAGCUUCCCGUCUGCCUCUGAAAUGGACGUCAGGGGUUAAGCCCUGGACCAGCCAACCAGGAGUUGCAGGACCAUAUGUAGUAUAUGAUUAGGCAGAGUGCUGUUGUGGAGGUCAGGGUAGAACGUGGAGGGUAGUGGGGAGAGAAUUCCAAAAUGGCUUCCUGAAGGUAGAAUCCUGGCAGACAGAUUGGGAGCUGGUUGAAGAAGGUAAAUGUUUUAGGUGAUGGACUAGUUUAAACACAGAAGUGGGGGCAGAAAGAAACCACUGCUGUAGAAGCUUGAAGCCCCUCAGACCUUGUAAAUUUUUAACCAGGAAGGGGCCUUAAAAAUCCAGUAAUUAAGCCCCCUCAUUUUCCAUUGAGGAAACUGUGGGAGGCCUGGUGCCUAGAAUUACCAUUUCCUGAAAUGAUUCUCGAUCUUCAAGUCUUCAAGUCCUGUUGCUUAUUCUACAGGUGCCCCCUUCCUGUCAUUCUGGGGCAGUAUAGUGAGCUGCCGCCUCUCCUCUGUGGCUUUGCUCACAUCCCUUCAGCCGUGGUCUUUGUGAGCAGAAGAUCCUGGUGUAGCCGCCUGCUGCUUGCUGCUCAGCUCCCCUCUGCAGGAUCUGUGGCUUGCAGUCCCCCUCACACCGAUGUCCCCACUCAGCCUGCGCUCGAGGAUCAGAAAGCUGGCUCUGGGCUCCAGAGGCCUGAGGGCUUCCCUCCUGGAUAGCCCUGCUGUGAUUCUCUCUACACACUUGUUGUUCACCAUCACUGGGCACAGAGUGGCUUCUCUCUGUCUUUCCCCUGAAAGAACUGUGAGCUCUGUGAGGGUAGGCUCUACCUGCGAUUCCAUUUGAGUUGCCAGGACUAGCGGGCAUUCUGUGAAUGUGUGAAUGUUCCAUGAAUGAAUGCUUAUGUAGUUUCUUCCUUUCCUUAUAGACAGAAAGUGGUCUUGGUUCUCUCAGUUUUUCCAAGGCCUGACUACCCUUAGGUAUAGAGAGGAAUAGGUGUGCAAAAGAACUGAGCUUUAACAUUGUUAGAGUGCUGCAAGCUUCAUAGCGUGAUGGUGGGAGGCCCUUGGGUGGCCUUGCUGUGUCUUCUGAGGCCCUGCAUGGGUUGCAUCCCUGCUUUCCUCAUCAGCCUGUUUCAUGCUUGCUUUCUUUGUUCCAAGGAUACUGGCCUUGAUUGGAUUGCCUUCCUUUGCUGGGGCAUAGUUUGCCUACAGGCAUUAGUAUGUCCCCAGUCAGUUUCCUGUCAUGAGGGAGCUAUUCCCAACUGGGCCAAACUCCCCUCUCUUGACCCAACACAACAACUUAUGUUUCCUCUUUGAGCCCUUUUUCUGGCUGCAACUUAAUGAUUUGUGUGGCUACUAAGUUCCAGUCUUCUUUGUCCAGUAGACUGCAAGCUCUCUGAGGAUGGUGCUGUGUCUCUGUGUGCACAUGGCCUGGCAUGUUAUAGGUUCUCAAUAAAUACUUGCUCUGAAUCAGUCAGUGGGCUUCCAAAGCAUGGCCUCUUCACUUUCUACCUGGGUAGAGUGAGGACUGAUUGGACAAGGACAGGGACAGGGGCAGGAUGCUGGGUGUGCCCCAGAGGGAAGAUUCUUUGGGCCUUAGCUCUGGAGGUGCUGGUGUUCCACCUUCUCAUCUUUCAGGCUUCCUUUUUUCCCUCUCAGCAUCAGAGAAGAGGAGGGCUUCAUCUGACUCUGCAGGCUUUUACUCUCUCCCUGGGUGACCCUACCCACCCCUAGUUUCGUGUGCCACUCACCUGCUUUCUUAGGACUUCCUUGUCUAAGCCCUCAGACCGCUGAACUGCGCUCCCAGCCUAGUGUGUCCCACCAAAGGCCAUCUUGGGCCUUCGUGGUGCUUGCCCUCAAUUGUAGCCAGGAUUUGUCCUUCAGGAUUCUGGGAGUAUCAGGGUCCUGUCUGUGUAGUUUUACAAGCAUCUCUGCCUUUCCUUCUAGCCUGGGAGCUGCUUGAGGGCAGUGGCCUGGUCUGCUUGAGCUGUGUACCCCCAGCACCUAGUUGCUCAAAAAAAGCGUGUGUAAUGUGGGAGUAAUCCACUCAAGAGGGAGGGGGAUCUGGAAUGAAUGUUCUAAACACCCUUCUCCUUUUUGCCAGGAAGGAAUCAGUGAAGGUGGGUGUGCUCUGUAAACACGCCUUCCUGUGUGAGGGGUGGGCAGCUGGUGGUGGUGGUGUUGCAUGCUCAAUAAAGGAUUAUAUUUUAAUUUGGAAAGCACUUUAGAAACUUAAAGUGCUUUGCUUAAGUGCUGACUGCUAUUAGUGUCUCCUUUUUAUUAGGAAAAAGGACAUGAUUUUUGUCUUUUAUCUUCAGGCCUGUCCAACUUCUGAGAGUCAAACUUAGCAAAAUGCCUGCCCCUCACUGAGGACUAGUUACAUGCCAGGUUCAAAGCUCUGGACUUGAAACAUAGAAUUCUGCUUUGCAGACUGGUUCUGACACCCCUGAGGGGAUUAGCCCUGACAGCUCCGUAUUGGGAAGGGGGUAGGAGAGACAGGGUCAUCUGACAUAGUUCAAGCUGCAGUCUCUAGCACCUCCUGUCCUUAUCUAGGCCUGGGCAAGGGGGAGGACAGAAGAACCUAGGCUGUUUUGGGGGUACAGGGAAGCAACCUUAGUGAUUAUCAAAAAACAAAACAAAACAAAACAAAAACAACAUUUACAGUGUAAUAUGAAGGGCCAGACCUUUGGGAGAGAAUUGGGGAGGAGGGAUUGGGUUUGUUCAGCGUGGUCAAGCAUGAUAGGACCAGCCGGCAGAGGCAGCACAGCUGCUGGCCCUGAUGAUGUAAGAGCCGGCUGAGGGCUGAGUCAGAUAGAGGGAGAGCAUGUAGUAGUCGCAGAUGGAGCUACAGGAGGCCGCAAGCUGGGAACUUGCUGUAGGCCUUGCAGAUGCUUGGGAGAGCCUUGCUGGUUUGAAGAAAUGAUAACAUCCCUCCCCAUGUAGAUAAUCUAGUGCUGCAGUCACAGGAGUGUAGGAGUACAGGAGGCUCAAGUGAGCCUUGUUGGAUCUCUCUGUGUGGGCUCUGCCCCAGGCUCAUUCCUGAGCAGCCACUAGAGAGACCAAUACUCUGGUCUCAGUCUGGACUGUCCCUGUCUGCCCUGGAAGCCCUGCCCAGGGCUGGACAUGGAGAGGUGGGAGCUCUGGCCCAGCUUGCUGGUGCCCUAAAGACUCCAACUCCUAAUCGGGUCCUAAUCUAGGGGAGCUAGAAUGGGUGUGGGGUGGAGGGAAUACCCUGAGCCUACUGCCUUAACUGAAUUUCCAUACCUCCUGUUGUUAAUUAUAGAGAUGUAAUAAUGCGAUUAGUGCACGAUUAAAAAAAAUCCCUGAUAUGAUUACCAUGGAUUUAAUAUCACAUGAUAUAUCAUUAUAUCGUUAUGCAGUGACAGAUGUAAUUGAAAUACACUUAUUGGAGCCGGGGGUGGUGUUUCAUUCAAUCCUCAGCACCCCGGGGAGGCAAGGGCUGACUAAAAAGAAGCAGUGGGAGAGGAAAUUGUAAUGAAAACAAAGAAAACUCCAAAUGUAGCUUUCACCCUGGGCAUCUGGCUCAGACUGACGUGCUGCCUUAGACUCUGUGAUGGUGCACGUGGAGCUCACCUCCUCUGCAGGCACUGAGGCAGCCUGGCUCCUGGGCUGCUUAUCUUGCUCUAAUCCCAGAAACCUCAGUGUCCCCAAGCCCCCUCUGACUCAGCAGUGAAGCCAAGGGAUCCGGGAACAUGAAGGAGAUAACUCCAUCCAAAAAUACUCAGGACCCUAAGGGAUCAGUUGAACUGGCAUCUGUCCUCCACUCCUGGGGUCCCCCAGGUCUAUAUAUGGUGGAACCCAGAGCUGUGGCACAGCCCCCUCCCUUUGCUGUGGUGGUGACCCGGCACACUAGAGGCAGCAGUACUGUUGUAGGCAGUGAGCAGCGAGGUUAAGUUCACAGGAUAAUUAUCCCACUCAAGGUCUGUUGAUGGGCAGAGGCAGCAGCAGCUCGGGGUCCCCUGAAGUAUGUUGGUAGCCAGAGAACACUGCACACAACAGAACUACCAGCUGGGGUUAGGGCAGAUGGGCUUGUGUCACCCGAUGCAAGUGCCCAUCAUUUUGCUGCCAUCUCUGUGCUAGAAUCAGGUAAGGGGCUACCCAUUGGCUGAAGAGUUUAGAAAAGGAGAAAGGAAGCAGAACAGUCUCCUUUCUAAACACUGGCAGCUGAGCACCCAGCUACAAGAAUGGCCAUGGGAAGAGUGCUGUUGUGCUGGGCAAGAACAGCAGUGGUUCCUGGAGGAGGCUGGAGUAGGACUGGCCGAGCAGCAGCAGUGGAAACUGGGUGUUCGUGCUUGGCAGAAGUGAGCCCAGGGAGAUGUCUUUCUGCUGCAGCCUUCCCUCGGUGAAGGCCAUUCAGACAGCAGACGCCGCCCUUCCUUAGAGGGACCACAAGUUUGUGAACAGAUCAGUGUUGCAGGGCUGUUCAGAGGGCUUAAAGGAAAGAUGGGUCAGGAAGACUGUGAAGAAAGGUACUUUUGAGUUGUGUAUUGAAAGAUUAGGACACAGAAUGGGAGAAAGCAGAAGGCAUUCUAGGAAUUGCUUCCUAGAAUUGCUUGAAUUAAGUCUUGGAAGCAUGAACCAACAUUCUCAGGUCUUGAGCAGGAAGGAAGAGGAGGGAGUCAAGAUUGACUCCCAUAUUUCUGGCUUGGUAGACCGGGUGGAUGGUAAUGGCUUUCACUGGGAUUUGGGGAUCCAGGAGAAAAAGCAGUUUAAAGAGAUGUUGAAGUGGGUUUUAAACAUGCUGAGAAUCAAGUGUCUGUGAGAAAUCCAAAGUAGACAAUAGAAAAUACAUUUAUAUAUACAUUGAAUAUAUUUAAGUAUGUUAAAUUUUGUUAAAUUUGUAUAUAUUAAAUAUAUAUUUGAAAUAUUUAUAUAAAAUGGUAUUAUUUCAUUUAUUCAUAUGAGAGAGAGCACUCUCAUUUGCCUGUUCGUGCCCCAAAUGCCUGAGGCUUGGCUAAGCCUGAACCUGGGAGCUGGGAACGCAAUCUAGGUCUCCUGCAUGGCAGGGACCCAAUUAUUAGAGUCAUCACCUGCUCUCCCAAGAUCUGCAUUAGCAGGAAGCAGGAGUCGGGAGCUAGAGCCAGGAAUCAAACCCAGGUACUCUGAUGUGGGACCCAGGAGCCUUAACCACUAGGCUGAACACCUGCUCCAGAACGUGUAUGUGUGUGUGUUAUAUAUAAUUAUUACAUCUUAUUUUAUAAUAUGUGUGUAUAAGGUUGAAGACAAGGGAGUUGAGAUCACACAAGGAGAAUGUUAGCACAUAGAGAAAAAAGGGAGGAGUGCGUGUAGAGCAUAUGAGUGCAUGAAUAAGAUGAGCAAAUGCAGAAACUACAGCGGCAAUUGUGAGGGACACAGGAGACAAGUGGGACAACUGAAGGAGUGGAAUAUCAGGAAAACCAAAGGUGGGGAUUCAGAGAUGAAGUAGGCUGCAGAGUGGUGAGAGCAUGGAAGAACACGAGGCUGUCCAGACAUAUGGGGGCGUGGGGGGCAGCAUGGUGAGGAUUGUUGACCUUGACAGGGGCUAAGCUCCGUGGUAAGGAUGGACAAUAGACCUCAAGGAAUUAAGUAAUGAUGGGCAGGUAAAUGGAGAUAAUUUUGAGAAGUUUGGUUGUUAACAGGAAAACAAGGAAUAAGUGGAUGGAGACAGGUGAAUGGGGGGGGGUGUUAAAAAUAAUAAUCUAAUAUUUAUAUAACUUUCAAAGAGCAAGGCACAGUUUUAAGCACUUUACAUACAAUAACUCAUUCAAUCCUCACAUCAGCCAUAGAGGACAGGAACCAUUAUUACCCUCACUUUACAAGAGGAAAUUAAGGCACAGAGAAGUUAUGUAGGGCCGGCACCAUGGCUCACUUGGUUAACCUCCGCCUGUGAUGCCGGCAUCCCAUAUGGGCGCCAGGUACUAGUCCCAGUUGCCCCUCUUCCAGUCCAGCUCUCUGCUGUGGCCUGGGAAGGCAGUGGAGGAUGGCCCAAGUGCUUGGGCCCUGCACCCGCAUGGAGACCAGGAGGAAGCACCUGGCUCCUGGCUUCAGAUCGGCACAGCACCGGUCGUGGUGGCCAUUUGGGGGAUGAACCAAUGGAAGGAAGACCUUUCUCUCUGUCUCUCUCACUAUUUAAUCUCUACCUGUCAAAUAAAUUUUAAAAAAAUAUAAAAAGAAGUUAUGUAAAGAUAAUAAAGAUUCAGGCCUGUGGUUGAAUUCUAGCAGGAAGGAGCCAGCAGAGAGAGGGAGGUUAGAAACUAUAGAAAGGGGAUGCUAGAUGGACCCGGGGCCUGAGGAGGCACUUAAGGCUAUCUUCUGCUUUCCCAGGUGCAUGAGCAGUGAGCUGGAUCAGAAGCAGUGCAGCUGGGACUUGAACUGGCACUCUGAUAUGGGAUGCCAGCCUUGCAAACAGCAGCUUAAACCACUGCACCACAAUGGCAGCCCUGUCUUUCUUUACCUUGUCUCCUGGCUUCUCUGUGUGGUCUCCGCAUGGGUUUCGGCUUCCUCACAGCAUGACUGCCACAGGACAACUUAAGGUUCCAGGGCAAUUACUAAGAGAGAUGGAAGUGGAAGGCACCUGAGCAUUUCUUUUUUUUUUUUUUUUUUUUUUUUAAGAUUUAUUUAUUUAUUUGAAAGAGUUACACAGAGAGGAAAGGCAGAGAGAGAGAGAGAGAGGUCUUCCAUCCGAUGGUUCACUCCCUGAUUGGCCACAACGGCCAGAGCUGCGCCGAUCUGGAGCCAGGAGCUUCUACCAGGUCUCCCACAUGGGUACAGCGGCCUGAGGACUUGGGCCAUCUUCUACUGCUUUCCCAAGCCAUAGCAGAGAGCUGGAUUGGAAGUGGAGCAGUCAGGUCUUGAACCAGCACCCAUAUGGGAUGCCAGUGCUUCACGCCAGGGCGUUAACUUGCUGUGCCACAGCACCGGCCCCCUGAGCAUUUCUUAAUAGUCACAUUACUUCUGCAGUGCACUAUCAGUUGAAAUAGUCACAAAGCCCACACUGAUUCCCAGGCAGAGGAGGGGCAUCGACUCCCUCUGUUGAUUACAGAUAUGUCAGAAUCACUGUGUGAGAAGAGCUUGUACGAUGGGAGACAGUGUUACAGCCAUCACUGGAAAAUACAGUCUGCCACUGCUGGUGUUGGGUUGAAACUGGAGAAGGGAGAGUACAAUGAAAGUCAAAAUGUGUGUUAAGUGGUAGCACUGGGAAUAUCUGGUGAGUGUUCCUGAGUGACCUCAGAUACACCUGGGGAAAGUACUGCUAUCCCAUUUUGUAGUACAAGAAACUGAGGCACAAAGAGGCUUAAUAGUUCUUUCAAAAUUAUAGUGCUAAUACCCGGCAGAACUAGGAAUCAAAUCCCGAUUUGUAUGACCCCUGGGUGCUGAGCAUACUGCCUUUAGGAGACCUGGACUACUGGGUGUGCUCUAGGUAUGCAUGGCAUAUGCCAUUCCAGUAUGAACUGUGGCCUAGGCACUUGAUUCCCUAGCUACAGAAGUGUUAGUUGGAUAAAAAGUUUAGCAGUAUUUAUGUCUGUCAGACUUUCUCCCCCAUUCUUGAGAAUAUUACCUCUAUAGCAUCACCUCUGUUGGGUGUUAUGAAAAUGGCAGGUGUUUGGUAUGGUUCCUAGUCCAGGGAAAUGGCCCAUCAGUCCUAGGCCCACAGAGGGUGACAAAGUCAUCCAGAGAUAUGAUUAAAGGCCUGCUCCUCCUCAUCUCCCACAUGGGGAGGCCACACAGGCUGAAUGUGUUGGUGCACCUGUGUUGGUGGUAGCUCUGAAGCUCUGGGUUUUCUGGAAGUUACAGAGCAGUCUGUACUUCUGUCUGCAGACUGAGCUGGGUUCUAACCCUUCGGCCCAACCACUGCCAUGCCCGUUCUGUGUCACCCCAUGCUCAGUGCCCUGCUAGGUAGUGCACGGGUGGGCAGAGACACCAUAGCAGCUGUUGAUGCCUCGUCUUUCCUCUUUGAAGGAUCUGAUGCUGCUGCCGACGAGGGCUACUUCAUCUAUUAAACCCAAUACACUUGUCGCAGCUGCUAAGCCCCCGUAAGCCGCCGGGCGCCGUGUUUGUGAUGGGACUGACAGUGCAUGGAGGAGGCUGAUUAUACACGAUUCCAUUUCGCGGGCCCAGCAAUGUAAUUUCACAGGGCGAUCAGCGUUUGCAUGUAAUAGCAGGCUGUGCUGAGGUGUCAGAAUAUUAAAGGCGCUAAUGGCAAAGCUCCCUGUUACACAGGGGGCCACCCGCCGCGCCUACAGCAGGGCUGUGCGGCAGGCCCGUCGCAGAUGGCUGGCCACUAAGCUAAUGGGGCAGCAGCCAAGGCGGGCAGAGCCACAAGAGGGGAGAGCCAGCCGGGAGCAGCUCGGCACCUGCUUCCCCGCGCAUGGAAAUUACAGCAGCCCAGGGGAAGGGAAGUGUGCGUGCUUGCCUGGCACAGGGCUGGGCUGGGCUGGGUUGGUAGACCCAGCGUCUUUUCCCCUAACUCCACCCAUCCAUGUGGCUCAGCGUCGGUACCUGCCCUGGAUGGGAUUCAGGAGCUCCUCGCUCAUCCUCCCGCCUGUCCCACCCUCUGUCUAAGUCUCCCCAGGGUUUAGCUGCUGACUGUGCACAAUUGGGCAGGUGGACCUGAGAGCUGAAAGAGGUGCCACAGGAGAAGUGGCUCCUAGAGAAUUUGGAAGCAGCAUUCGUUGGGAGAGGUGCUCAGGUGCAAGCUCUUGGAGAGAACUGUGAGAACAGAUUCCUGCCCCAUGCAGCUCAAGGCUUACAGCUUCGCCAUGGGCUGCUGGCC